GACAAACGCUGGCGGCGUGCCUAACACAUGCAAGUCGAACGGAGACAGUAGCAAUACUGUCUUAGUGGCGGACGGGUGAGUAAGGCGUGAGCAAUCUGCCUUUCAGUGGGGGACAACAGUUGGAAACGGCUGCUAAUACCGCAUAAUGUAGUUUGAGGGCAUCCUUGAGAUCCCAAAGAUUUAUCGCUGAAAGAUGCGCUCGCGUGUGAUUAGUUAGUUGGUGGGGUAACGGCCUACCAGACUGGGAUCAGUAGCCGGACUGAGAGGUUGGACGGCCACAUUGGGACUGAGAUACGGACCAGACUCCUACGGGAGGCAGCAGUGGGGAAUAUUGGGCAAUGGGGGAAACCCUGACCCAGCAACGCCGCGUGAAGGAAGAAGGCCUUCGGGUUGUAAACUUCUUUGACGAGGGACGAUAAUGACGGUACCUCGAAAACAAGCCACGGCUAACUACGUGCCAGCCGCCGCCGUAACAC
rnacentral:rRNA from 1 species